AGUGUAGCGGGUGAACAGCGUAGAUAGAGGGAAGGAACACCAGUCGGUGAAGGCGACCGACCUGGGCUCAUUCUGACACUGAGGUGCGAAAGCGCAGGAGCAAACAGGAUUAGAUAUCCUGGUAGUCCACGCCGUAAACGAUGUCAACUAGCCGUUGGGAGUCUUGAACUCUUAGUGGCGCAGCUAACGCAUUAAGUUGACCGCCAUGGGGAGUACGGCCGCAAGGUUAAAACUCAAAUGAAUUGACGGGGCCGCGCACAAGCGGUGGAGCAUGUGGUUUAAUGGGAAGCAACGCGAAGAGCCUUGCCAGGCCUUGGCAUUCAAUGAACUUUCCAGAGAUGGAUUGGUGCCUUCGGGAACAUUGAGACAGGUGCUGCAUGGCUGUCGUCAGCUCGUGUCGUGAGAUGUUGGGUUAAGUCCCGUAACGAGCGCAACCCUUGUCCUUAGUUACCAGCAAGUUACGGUGGGCACUCUAAGGAGACUCCCGGUGACAAACCGGAGGAAGGUGGGGAUGACGUCAAGUCAUCAUGGCCCUCCGGCCUGGGCUACACACGUGCUACAAUAGUCGGUACAGAGGGUUGCCAAGCCGCGAGGUGGAGCUAAUCUCACAAAACCGAUCGUAGUCCGGAUCGCAGUCUGCAACUCGACACGUGCAAGUCGGAAUAGCUAGUAAUCGCGAAUCAGAACGCUGACGUACCGGGC
rnacentral:rRNA from 1 species